rnacentral:miRNA from 1 species
UACUUACCUGUCCCCUACCCCA